GACGGAGGGUGCUAGCGUUGUUCGGAAUGACUGGGCGUAAAGGGCGCGUAGGCGGCCGCUUGCGUCGGAUGUGAAAGCCCGGGGCUCAACCCCGGAACGGCAUCCGAUACGGGGCGGCUCGAGACCGAGAGAGGUGAGUGGAAUACCCAGUGUAGAGGUGAAAUUCGUAGAUAUUGGGUGGAACACCGGUGGCAAAAGCGGCUCACUGGCUCGGUUCUGACGCUGAGACGCGAAAGCGUGGGGAGCAAACAGG
rnacentral:rRNA from 1 species